rnacentral:tRNA from 1 species
AGGUAUAUAGCUCAGUAGUAGAGCAUAUGCUUAGCGUGCACAAGGUCCAGGGUUCAAUCCCCAGUACUUCCA